rnacentral:lncRNA from 1 species
AUCGUCGUACGCGUAGCUAUACGCGCGUGGGCAAGCACUUUUAAAUAACUCAGAAUAACUCGAAGGUUUGCAAGUGUUGGGUGAACCAUACGCGCCGCUGCAACAAUACUGCGCCGUUCCAAACGCUUCACAAGCACUUUUACACGCCACACUCUCUUUCCCAUCCACGGUCGUAACCUUAAGCUCUGAAGGACACGCACCGAGCAAAUCCCUAAUACAACCGGUAUUCGUACAGUUAUCACCGGAGCCACCUUGUGGAACCACAAGCAUUGGAACGUUGUAACCGUCAACUAAACUCACGUCGAAGAAAUCGAGUCCACCGGAUCCAUCGAGAGUGAAUUCCGCUAAGGUAGCUGGUGGUGUUGCGCCGUUGCCAGAGCAUUCGACUUUGCCGGAGUUACAAUCGCCGGUGAGACAGGAGAAUUUUCCGGUGGAGUCUUGGGAACAGACAGUACGGCCCCAGAAACGGCCUCCCCAGGAAGCGGGUGGGGUGAUUGAUUUGGAGUCGCCGGAUUGAAGAACGAAACCGGUGGUUGGAAGCGGUGCAACGCCGGCGUUGGAGAGAAUUCCCGGCCAUACCGUGUAGUUGCAUUUGUUAACGAGUGUGAAUGUUGUUGAUAAUACCCCUGAUAUUGAAAGAUUAAGUAUGAUAAGGAAAAUUGAAAAUAAUUUAGUACUUAGUUGAUCCAUGUAAUGAUAUAAGAACUUAACUUAAUAUGUAGAAGAAGAAGAAG